GCCGGUCCUCGGUAGUGGCCCCCGGGAACAUGCCCGGGAGCUUCGAUCGAAGACCGGC
rfam:Streptomyces griseus subsp. griseus NBRC 13350 DNA, complete genome.